AUUGAACGCUGGCGGCAGGCUUAACACAUGCAAGUCGAACGGAACCUUCGGGUUUAGUGGCGAACGGGUGAGUAACACCUAGGAAUCUGCCUAUUAGUGGGGGAUAACGGCUCGAAAGGGUCGCUAAUACCGCAUACGUCCUACGGGAGAAAGAGGGGGAUCUUCGGACCUCUUGCUAAUAGAUGAGCCUAGGCCGGAUUAGCUAGUUGGUAGGGUAAAGGCCUACCAAGGCGACGAUCCGUAGCUGGUCUGAGAGGAUGAUCAGCCACACUGGAACUGAGACACGGUCCAGACUCCUACGGGAGGCAGCAGUGGGGAAUAUUGGACAAUGGGGGAAACCCUGAUCCAGCUACGCCGCGUGGGUGAUGAAGGCCUCGGUUGUAAG
rnacentral:rRNA from 1 species